AGCAACCGGCCUUGCGCGCCGGGCCUCCGGCGGGCAGCUCCGAGGAGGCGCGGGCGGACGCCGGCCUCCCCGUCCGCGCGCAAAGCCAGACGGAGCCGGUGCCCGACAGCGAGUUCCGGGGCCUCAAGAACGAGGUGCUCAGGCUUCUGGACGGCUGCCCGCUCUUCAGGCACAGGAAGCUGACCCCAUCCCAGGCAGUCUGAAAAGUCUGCUCUUAAACCGUGCCUUGGAGUUUAAGAAAGCCCCUGAUUAAAACGUCCGAGGAGGAUUAAUGAGUCAGCCCACCCUUAGUUUACUGCCGAAGAACCAAUGUUAGGAGUGGAGGUUUCCAGAGGCCACAGGAUGUGUAAUAUCCCAACCAACCAAUUUAGAAGCGGAUACAGAAUCCAGCCAUCUUCUCUUAAUCCCUUCCAUUAAAAUGAUUUGUAAAAAUG